ensembl:miRNA MIR488 microRNA 488
GAGAAUCAUCUCUCCCAGAUAAUGGCACUCUCAAACAAGUUUUCAAAUUGUUUGAAAGGCUAUUUCUUGGUCAGAUGACUCUC